AAUGAAUAGUGGAACUACACUUACCAGCAAGCUAUAUUACAUCUGCUGAUUAUCACAAAUGAAUACCAUGAUUGCAUAGCUAUAGACACCUGAGGGGAUUGAGGAUCCUCGCUUUCUGGGCUUGCCAAAAUGGCUUGUGGUGGCAGGGCCGACACUAUGGAGAUGCGUCGUUGGGGUGGUGAGGAUGCUGCUGGUGCUUCAGCCUCAAGACGGCGUCUCUUGGUUGGCCCCCUAUGUUGAGGAUCCGAGCCCUGUGAUGGGUGCCUUAGUGGAAGGGGGUUUGCUGAAGAAGAACCUAUGUGAUAAGAUAAACAUUAACAUUCUGCUUUUCUAUGUGUUUUCAGAAUAUGUGUUUACACUAAAUUCUUACCUGCAUCGCCAGCAUCUGCAUCUCUUGGCAGUGUGGGAUGUGGCCUGGCUGUGCUGCUUCUCUUUCGUACUGUAAAAAUAUUAACAAUGUACUAAUGAACAUACUAUUAUGUUUAUCUGUUUAUGCUAAUUCCUUAUUGUGAUGGAAACAUAUGUGUAACCUGAUGAGAAGUAAACUAACCUAUUCUUAUG